UACGGAGGAUCCAAGCGUUAUCCGGAUUUAUUGGGUUUAAAGGGUGCGUAGGCGGCCUGUUAAGUCAGGGGUGAAAGACGGUAGCUCAACUAUCGCAAUGCCCUUGAUACUGAUGGGCUUGAAUGGACUAGAGGUAGGCGGAAUGAGACAAGUAGCGGUGAAAUGCAUAGAUAUGUCUCAGAACACCGAUUGCGAAGGCAGCUUACUAUGGUCUUAUUGACGCUGAGGCACGAAAGCGUGGGGAUCAAACAGG
rnacentral:rRNA from 1 species